CCCCCAAAUCAAGCCUAAAGUAGUUACCGCAGACCCAACCAAACCAUCUCUACAACCUAACAAAACAUUCUCCCACUUUAGUAGAGGCGAUCAAAAAACUUCUAAGCGCUUUAUACUCAGUACCGCAAGGGAAUGAUGAAAUAGCUAUGAAAUAGCCUGAAAGUACUAAACAGCAGAGAAUCCACUCGUACCUUUUGCAUCAUGGUUUAGCUAGUCCAAAUCAAGCAAAGCGAAACAUUAGUUUGACUUCCCGAAACUAGGCGAGCUACUUCGAAACAGCUUAAAAGAGCCAACCCGUCUCUGUUGCAAAAGAGUGGGACGAUUUCCAAGUAGAAGUGAAAAGCCUACCGAGCCUAGAGAUAGCUGGUUAUUCAGGAAAAGAGUUUCAGCUCACCCUUAAGCUUCCUCAUGAGCCCAAACAGCCCACUAAGCUUAAGAGUUAUUCAAUUAAGGCACAGCUUAUUUGAAAAAGAGUACAGUCUACAACCAAGGGUAAGUGAUAAAAUUCGUGCCAAGUGGGCCUGAAAGCAGCCACCUUUAAAAAAGCGUUAAAGCUUCCCACACCUUCGCUAUUAAAUACCAGUACCUUUCUCGAACCCUUCACCAAUACUGAAUAACCCUAUAAAUUAUAGGAGAUAUAAUGCUAAAACUAGUAACAAGAAAUAGACUUUCUCCGAAAUGUGAGUGUACGCCAAGACGGACUUGCCAUUGGCUUUUACCGUGUUUGACCCAAGUACAGUAACCUACUCAGAAAACCCUGUACACCCAAACGUUAACCUAACACAAGAACAUUCCCGGAAAGAUUAAAAGAGAAAGAAGGAACUCGGCAAAUCUAAGCCCCGCCUGUUUACCAAAAACAUCGCCUCUUGAUAAAAUAUAAGAGGUCCAGCCUGCCCAGUGACAUAGUUAAACGGCCGCGGUACCCUGACCGUGCGAAGGUAGCAUAAUCACUUGUUCUUUAAAUGGGGACUCGUAUCAACGGCAUCACGAGGGCUUUACUGUCUCCUUUCUCCAAUCAGUGAAACUGAUCUCCCCGUGAAGAAGCGGGGAUGACAAUAUAAGACGAGAAGACCCCAUGGAGCUUUAAACCCAACGACACCCCUCAACCCCCCAACCCAUUAUAGUUGCUACAGCCCUGUUCGUUGGUUUUAGGUUGGGGUGACCGCGGAGUAUAAAUUACCCUCCACGACGAAUGGGACUACCCCCUUACCCAAGAGCUACUCCUCUAAGGAUCAACAGAUUGACGUAAAAUGAUCCAAGCAUUUGAUCAACGGACCAAGUUACCCUGGGGAUAACAGCGCAAUCCAUUUCAAGAGCUCCUAUCGACAAAUGGGUUUACGACCUCGAUGUUGGAUCAGGGUACCCAAGUGGUGCAGCCGCUACUAAUGGUUGUGUUUGUUCAACAAUUAAAACCCUACGUGAUCUGAGUUCAGACCGGAGCAAUCCAGGUCGGUUUCUAUCUAUAAAGUGUUACUCUUAGUACGAAAGGAUUAGAGUAACGUGGCCAAUAUUUAAACAAGCCACAGCCUGAGACUAAUGAAAAAAACUCAAUUAGCCACAGCCUCCCACUCCUUCUAAGACCAAGAC
rnacentral:rRNA from 1 species